rnacentral:rRNA from 1 species
UACAGAGGGGGCAAGCGUUGUUCGGAAUUACUGGGCGUAAAGGGUGCGUAGGCGGGUCUUUAAGUCAGAGGUGAAAUCCUGGAGCUCAACUCCAGAACUGCCUUUGAUACUGAGGAUCUUGAGUUCGGGAGAGGUGAGUGGAACUGCGAGUGUAGAGGUGAAAUUCGUAGAUAUUCGCAAGAACACCAGUGGCGAAGGCGGCUCACUGGCCCGAUACUGACGCUGAGGCACGAAAGCGUGGGGAGCAAACAGG